GACGAACGCUGGCGGCGUGCUUAACACAUGCAAGUCGAACGGUAAGGCCCUUCGGGGUACACGAGUGGCGAACGGGUGAGUAACACGUGGGUGAUCUGCCCUGCACUUCGGGAUAAGCCUGGGAAACUGGGUCUAAUACCGGAUAGGACCCUGGGAUGCAUGUCCUGGGGUGGAAAGCUUUUGCGGUGUGGGAUGGGCCCGCGGCCUACCAGCGUGUUGGUGGGGUGAUGGCCUACCAAGGCGACGACGGGUAGCCGGCAUGAGAGGGUGACCGGCCACACUGGGAAUGAGAUACGGCCCAGACUCCUACGGGAGGCAGCAGUGGGGAAUAUUGCACAAUGGGCGCAAGCCUGAUGCAGCGACGCCGCGUGAGGGAUGACGGCCUUCGGGUUGUAAACCUCUUUCAGCACCGACGAAGCGCAAGUGACGGUAGGUGCAGAAGAAGGACCGGCCAACUACGUGCCAGCCGCCGCUGUAAAAC
rnacentral:rRNA from 1 species